UUAUUGAAACUUCGGUCGAUCUAAUUAUUUCUAGUGGCGGACGGGUGAGUAACGCGUGGGUAACCUGCCUUAUACUGGGGGAUAACAGCCAGAAAUGGCUGCUAAUACCGCAUAAGCGCACAGAACCGCAUGGUUCCGUGUGAAAAACUCCGGUGGUAUAAGAUGGACCCGCGUUGGAUUAGCUAGUUGGCAGGGCAGCGGCCUACCAAGGCAACGAUCCAUAGCCGGCCUGAGAGGGUGAACGGCCACAUUGGGACUGAGACACGGCCCAGACUCCUACGGGAGGCAGCAGUGGGGAAUAUUGCACAAUGGGGGAAACCCUGAUGCAGCGACGCCGCGUGAAGGAAGAAGUAUCUCGGUAUGUAAACUUCUAUCAGCAGGGAAGAUAAUGACGGUACCUGACUAAGAAGCCCCGGCUAACUACGUGCCAGCAGCCGCGGUAAUACGUAGGGGGCGAGCGUUAUCCGGAUUUACUGGGUGUAAAGGGAGCGUAGACGGCGCAGCAAGUCUGAUGUGAAAGGCAGGGGCUUAACCCCUGGACUGCAUUGGAAACUGCUGUGCUUGAGUGCCGGAGGGGUAAGCGGAAUUCCUAGUGUAGCGGUGAAAUGCGUAGAUAUUAGGAGGAACACCAGUGGCGAAGGCGGCUUACUGGACGGUAACUGACGUUGAGGCUCGAAAGCGUGGGGAGCAAACAGG
rnacentral:rRNA from 1 species